rnacentral:rRNA from 1 species
GAUGAACGCUGGCGGCGUGCCUAAUACAUGCAAGUCGAGCGAACGGACGAGAAGCUUGCUUCUCUGAUGUUAGCGGCGGACGGGUGAAUAACACGUGGAUAACCUACCUAUAAGACUGGGAUAACUUCGGGAAACCGUAGCUAAUACCGGAUAAUAUUUUGAACCGCAUGGUUCAAAAGUGAAAGACGGUCUUGCUGUCACUUAUUGAUGGAUCCGCGCUGCAUUAGCUAGUUGGUAAGGUAACGGCUUACCAAGGCAACGAUGCAUAGCCGACCUGAGAGGGUGAUCGGCCACACUGGAACUGAGACACGGUCCAGACUCCUACGGGAGGCAGCAGUAGGGAAUCUUCCGCAAAGGGCGAAAGCCUGACGGAGCAACGCCGCGUGAGUGAUGAAGGUCUUCGGAUCGUAAAACUCUGUUAUUAGGGAAGAACAUAUGUGUAAGUAACUGUGCACAUCUUGACGGUACCUAAUCAGAAAGCCACGGCUAACUACGUG